rnacentral:lncRNA from 1 species
UGGACUCCAAAGGUGAGUUCUUGUGAUUUUAAGUUAGGUUUUGGGUUUUUGCUUCUAGUUGAAGCAUCUAGAGAUCUCUAUAGUGGAUUUUCUCCAUUUUCUUCAUGUUGAGGACCUAAAAUGGAGAAGAUGAUGUUGUAUAGGGACCCAAAUUUGGGGUUUUGUAAAAAUAAGGUCGAAGCUUGGGAUUGAUCUCAUUCUAACCUAAUUGGUAGGUCAACGAACGCAUCGGUGCGCUUGGUUCGGCGA